UACGAAGGGGGCUAGCGUUGUUCGGAAUCACUGGGCGUAAAGGGCGCGUAGGCGGCCGAUCAAGUCGGGGGUGAAAGCCUGUGGCUCAACCACAGAAUUGCCUUCGAUACUGCUUGGCUUGAGACCGGAAGAGGUUAGUGGAACUGCGAGUGUAGAGGUGAAAUUCGUAGAUAUUCGCAAGAACACCAGUGGCGAAGGCGGCUGACUGGUCCGGUUCUGACGCUGAGGCGCGAAAGCGUGGGGAGCAAACAGG
rnacentral:rRNA from 1 species